rnacentral:rRNA from 1 species
AGUAAUGUCUGGGAAACUGCCUGAUGGAGGGGGAUAACUACUGGAAACGGUAGCUAAUACCGCAUAACGUCGCAAGACCAAAGUGGGGGACCUUCGGGCCUCAUGCCAUCAGAUGUGCCCAGAUGGGAUUAGCUAGUAGGUGGGGUAACGGCUCACCUAGGCGACGAUCCCUAGCUGGUCUGAGAGGAUGACCAGCCACACUGAAACUGAGACACGGUCCAG